rnacentral:rRNA from 1 species
CGCAAGCCUGAUGCAGCCAUGCCGCGUGUGUGAAGAAGGCCUUCGGGUUGUAAAGCACUUUCAGCAGUGAGGAAAGGUUAGUAGUUAAUACCUGCUAGCUGUGACGUUAACUGCAGAAGAAGCACCGGCUAACUCCGUGCCAGCAGCCGCGGUAAUACGGAGGGUGCGAGCGUUAAUCGGAAUUACUGGGCGUAAAGCGUACGCAGGCGGUUGAUUAAGCGAGAUGUGAAAGCCCCGGGCUCAACCUGGGAACUGCAUUUCGAACUGGUCAACUAGAGUGUGAUAGAGGGUGGUAGAAUUUCAGGUGUAGCGGUGAAAUGCGUAGAGAUCUGAAGGAAUACCGAUGGCGAAGGCAGCCACCUGGGUCAACACUGACGCUCAUGUACGAAAGCGUGGGGAGCAAACGGGAUUAGAUACCCCGGUAGUCCACGCCGUAAACGAUGUCUACUAGGAGUUCGGUUUUUCGGAACUGUCUUCCAAAGCUAACGCAUUAAGUAGACCGCCUGG